rnacentral:rRNA from 1 species
GAUGAACGCUAGCGGCAGGCCUAACACAUGCAAGUCGAGGGGUAACUAGAGUGAUAGCAAUAUUACUUUGGCUAGACCGGCGCACGGGUGCGUAACACGUAUGCAACCUACCUUCUACUGGGGAAUAACUUCGAGAAAUCGGCGCUAAUACCCCAUAACACUGCGGAGUGGCAUCUCCUUGCAGUUAACGCUCCGGCGGGAUGAGUUGGGCAUGCGUCGAAUUAGCUAGUUGGUGGGGUAACGGCUAACCAAGGCUACGAUUGGUAGGGGUUCUGGGGAGAUGAUCCCCCACACUGGUACUGAGACACGGACCAGACUCCUACGGGAGGCAGCAGUGAGGAAUAUUGCGCAAUGGACGAAAGUCUGACGCAGCCAUGCCGCGUGCAGGAUGACGGCCCUAUGGGUUGUAAACUGCUUUUGUACGGGAAUAAACCCUUCUACGUGUAGGAGGCUGAAGGUACCGUAAGAAUAAGCACCGGCUAACUCCGUGCCAGCAGCCGCCGUAA